rnacentral:rRNA from 1 species
CAGCCGCCGCGGUAAUACGAAGGGUGCAAGCGUUAAUCGGAAUUACUGGGCGUAAAGCGUGCGUAGGCGGUGAGUUAAGUCUGCUGUGAAAUCCCCGGGCUCAACCCGGGAAUGGCAGUGGAUACUGGCUCGCUAGAGUGUGUCAGAGGAUGGUGGAAUUCCCGGUGUAGCGGUGAAAUGCGUAGAGAUCGGGAGGGACAUCAGUGGCGAAGGCGGCCAUCUGGGACAACACUGACGCUGAGGCACGAAAGCGUGGGGAGCAAACAGGAUUAGAGACCCCUGUAGUCCCUGUCUCUUAUAC